UGAAGCUUUUGUAGGUGAAGCUUUUGUAGGUCAAGCUUUUGUGGGUCAAGCUUUUGUAGGUGAAGCUUUUGUGGGUGAAGCUUUUGUGUUGAAGCUUUUGUGGGUGAAGCUUUUGUGUUGAAGCUUUAAGCUUUUGUAGGUCAAGCUUUUGUGGGUCAAGCUUUUGUAGGUGAAGCUUUUGUGUUGAAGCUUUUGUGGGUGAAGCUUUUGUGUUGAAGCUUUUGUGGGUGAAGCUUUUAUAGGUGAAGCUUUGGAGUUAAAGCUUUGUAGGUGAAGCUUUGUGGGUGAAGCUUUUGUGGGUGAAGCUUUUGUAGGUGAAGCUUUUGUGGGUUAAGCUUUUGUAGGUCAAGCUUUUGUGGGUGAAGCUUUUGUAGGUGAAGCUUUUGUGGGUGAAGCUUUUG
rnacentral:lncRNA from 1 species